UACGAAGGGGGCUAGCGUUGUUCGGAAUUACUGGGCGUAAAGGGCGCGUAGGCGGUGCCUCAAGUCAGGCGUGAAAGCCCCGGGCUCAACCUGGGAACUGCAAUGGAAACUGGCGGGCUUGAGUGUGGCAGAGGGGGGUGGAAUUCCGCGUGUAGCAGUGAAAUGCGUAGAGAUGCGGAGGAACACCGAUGGCGAAGGCGGCGACCUGGACGGAUACUGACGCUGCAGAUGCGAAAGCGUGGGGAGCGAACGGG
rnacentral:rRNA from 1 species